rnacentral:rRNA from 1 species
AGUGAACGCUGGCGGUAGGCCUAACACAUGCAAGUCGAACGGCAGCACAGUAAGAGCUUGCUCUUACGGGUGGCGAGUGGCGGACGGGUGAGGAAUACAUCGGAAUCUACUUUUUCGUGGGGGAUAACGUAGGGAAACUUACGCUAAUACCGCAUACGACCUACGGGUGAAAGCAGGGGAUCUUCGGACCUUGCGCGAUUGAAUGAGCCGAUGUCGGAUUAGCUAGUUGGCGGGGGAAAGGCCCACCAAGGCGACGAUCCGUAGCUGGUCUGAGAGGAUGAUCAGCCACACUGGAACUGAGACACGGUCCAGACUCCUACGGGAGGCAGCAGUGGGGAAUAUUGGACAAUGGGCGCAAGCCUGAUCCAGCCAUACCGCGUGGGUGAAGAAGGACUUCGGGUUGUAAAGCCCUUUUGUUGGGAAAGAAAAGCAGCAGGUUAAUACCCCGCUGUUAUGACGGUACCCAAAGAAUAAGCACCGGCUAACUUCGUG